AGCGAACGCUGGCGGCAGGCCUAACACAUGCAAGUCGAGCGCCGUAGCAAUACGGAGCGGCAGACGGGAGAGUAACACGUGGGAACGUACCCUUUGGUUCGGAACAACCCAGGGAAACUUGGGCUAAUACCGGAUAAGCCCUUACGGGGAAAGAUUUAUCGCCGAAGGAUCGGCCCGCGUCUGAUUAGCUAGUUGGUGGGGUAAUGGCCCACCAAGGCGACGAUCAGUAGCUGGUCUGAGAGGAUGAUCAGCCUCACUGGGACUGAGACACGGCCCAGACUCCUACGGGAGGCAGCAGUGGGGAAUAUCGGACAAUGGGCGCAAGCCUGAUCCAGCCAUGCCGCGUGGGUGAUGAAGGCCUUAGGGUUGUAAAGCCCUUUCGGCGGGGAAGAUAAUGACGGUACCCGCAGAAGAAGCCCCGGCUAACUUCGUGCCAGCAGCCGCGGUAAUAC
rnacentral:rRNA from 1 species